UAAAAACCCCGACUUCGGAAGGGGUGUAUUUAUUAGAUACAAAACCAAUGCCCUUCGGGGCUCUUUGGUGAUUCAUGAUAACUAUACGAAUCGCACGGCCUUGCGCCGGCGAUGGUUCAUUCAAAUUUCUUCCCUAUCAACUUUCGAUGUUUGGGUAUUGGCCAAACAUGGUUGCAACGGGUAACGGAGGGUUAGGGCUCGACCCCGGAGAAGGAGCCUGAGAAACGGCUACUACAUCCAAGGAAGGCAGCAGGCGCGCAAAUUACCCAAUCCCGACUCGGGGAGGUAGUGACAAUAAAUACUGAUACAGGGCCCUUUCGGGCCUUGUAAUUGGAAUGAGUACAAUUUAAAUCCCUUAACGAGGAACAAUCGGAGGGCAAGUCUGGUGCCAGCAGCCGCGGUAAUUCCAGCUCCAAUAGCGUAUAUUAAAGUUGUUGUGGUUAAAAAGCUCGUAGUUGAACCUUGGGCCUGGCUGGCCGGUCCGCCUCACCGCGUGCACUGGUCCGGCCGGGCCUUUCCCUCUGUGGAACCCCAUACCCUUCACUGGGCGUGGCGGGGAAACAGGACAUUUACUUU
rnacentral:rRNA from 1 species